rnacentral:lncRNA from 1 species
GAAAGAGAAAAAGUUAAAAUGUUAGAAAAAAAGUUAUAAUUUGAACAAGUCUAGUGUACAGUACUGGGAAGAGUGUUUGGAGGAGUUCAACUGUGUGUUAUCCGAUCCUAUCACGGAUAUAAUCUUGGAAUAAAUAAAAGAUACUUGUACAUAGAUACACGUAUCAGACAUAUUUCCCUACACAACCCUAGAUCGAGGAAAAUCUGGGAGCAAAGUUCCCAAUCCCAUACAUGUAUGCUAAGAAAUAAACAUAUCAUCUUCACCAAUAUCUUUGACGAAAUACACGAUCUUCUUAUGCUGACGAUUUGCGUGAUCAGAGUGGCCAACCAAUCCUCUGGUUUCGUCUCGUAGAUUUCGGACUCUUCUGCUAACAUUUUUAACUUGCAAUAAAAUGAAUCAAUUGUUUCGAAAUUUGCUGGUUUACGUCGCAUCAAUUUGUAUCUUGAUGCAAUCUGUUUAUUAGCUUUCAGAUAUUUAAUUUUGUGGAAAAUAAAAUAUAUAUAAA